rfam:Salmo salar isolate Sally breed double haploid chromosome ssa10, whole genome shotgun sequence.
UAUGAAAAUGUAUGUAAGUCGCUCUGGAUAAAAGCAUCUACCAAAUGACUAAAA